UAACACGUGAGUAACCUGCCCCGAACUCUGGGAUAAGCGCUGGAAACGGCGUCUAAUACUGGAUAUGUCCUAUCACCGCAUGGUGUGUAGGUGGAAAGAAUUUUGGUUCGGGAUGGACUCGCGGCCUAUCAGCUAGAUGGUGAGGUAAUGGCUCACCAUGGCGACGACGGGUAGCCGGCCUGAGAGGGUGACCGGCCACACUGGGACUGAGACACGGCCCAGACUCCUACGGGAGGCAGCAGUGGGGAAUAUUGCACAAUGGGCGCAAGCCUGAUGCAGCAACGCCGCGUGAGGGAUGACGGCCUUCGGGUUGUAAACCUCUUUUAGUAGGGAAGAAGCGCAAGUGACGGUACCUGCAGAAAAAGCACCGGCUAACUACGUGCCAGCAGCCGCGGUAAUACGUAGGGUGCAAGCGUUGUCCGGAAUUAUUGGGCGUAAAGAGCUCGUAGGCGGCUUGUCGCGUCUGCUGUGAAAACCAGAGGCUCAACCUCUGGCCUGCAGUGGGUACGGGCAAGCUAGAGUGCGGUAG
rnacentral:rRNA from 1 species